rnacentral:misc_RNA from 1 species
UUUCCGUAGGUGAACCUGCGGAAGGAUCAUUCAUAACAAGUGUUUUAUGGCACUUUUUUAAAUCCAUAUCCACCUUGUGUGCAAUGUCAGGGUUGAUUUUUCUCUCGAGAGGAUCAACCCCAAACAUCAACUAUAUCGCAACUCUUUGUCUGAAAAAUAUUAUGAAUAAAACAAUUCAAAAUACAACUUUCAACAACGGAUCUCUUGGCUCUC